AUCAUUGGGAUGAAACAGAAAGUACGCAGAUUAUGGAUACACUCCAAGAAUAUAUAUUUAGCAUCUUGAAUUUUCGAGCAUGUAUCUCCCCAUUUUCACCCAAAGAUAUCAAAUGGAUUUGUAUAGAUUAUAAAAUGAACGAUGUUUUUACAUAGAAGACAAAAAUUUCCCGAAUUGUCUUCAUAAUUAUCUACCAGGUUACAAGUCUUGUGAAACAAAUCAUGACGUCAUCAAAAUAAGAACUGAAAAGAUGUUGGUCAUGAUAA